UCGCGAGCCCGGAGGGUGGCACGUGGGUUGAUGACUGUCGCGCUGCUCCCUCCGCCUCCGGCCCGGCCUCCUGAGGACCCCUCCGCCUCCACGUCUGCUCUCCUCUGGCCCCCUCCUCCCCCGGCGCCGUCCUCCUCAGGCCCCCUCCGCCCCCGGCGCCGUCCUCCUCAGGCCCCCACCGCCUCCAUCCCUGCCCUCCUCAGGCCCCCUCCGUCGCCGCCCCUGUCCUCAGGCCCCCUCCGUCCCCGCCUUCGUCCUCCUCAGGCCCCCUCCGCCCCCGGCCUCGGCCCCACGGCGGGAUGCGGGACAACACCAGCCCCAUCAGCGUGAUUCUGGUGAGCUCGGGGAGCAGGGGCAACAAGCUGCUGUUCAGGUACCCCUUCCAGAGAAGCCAGGAGCACCCGGCGUCCCAGACAAAUAAGCCACGCAGCAGAUAUGCUGUUAACAACACGGGCGACCAUGCUGAUGACCAGGAUGGCGAUGCCAGGUUUUCAGAUGUUAUUCUGGCAACAAUUUUGGCAACCAAGUCUGAAAUGUGUGGCCAAAAAUUUGAACUGAAGAUUGAUAACGUGCGGUUUGUUGGGCACCCAACACUGCUACAGCACGCUCUGGGGCAGGUCUCCAAAACAGAUCCUUCCCCGAAGAGGGAAGCACCUACUAUGAUUCUGUUUAAUGUGGUGUUUGCACUGAGGGCCAACGCAGACCCGUCAGUGAUAAACUGUCUGCAUAACCUGUCCCGUCGCAUCGCCACCGUGCUGCAGCAUGAGGAGCGCCGCUGCCAGUACCUCACCCGGGAGGCCAAGCUGAUCCUGGCGCUCCAGGAUGAGGUGUCCGCCAUGGCUGAUGGAAAUGAAGGUCCUCAGUCCCCAUUCCAUCACAUCCUGCCCAAGUGCAAGCUGGCCAGGGACCUCAAGGAAGCUUACGACAGCCUGUGCACGUCAGGUGUGGUUCGGCUUCACAUCAACAGCUGGCUGGAGGUGAGCUUCUGCCUGCCCCACAAGAUCCACUAUGCAGCCUCCAGCCUGAUCCCCCCAGAGGCCAUCGAACGGAGCCUGAAAGCCAUCCGCCCCUACCACGCCCUGCUGCUGCUCAGUGAUGAGAAGUCCUUGCUGGGGGAGCUUCCUAUCGACUGCUCCCCUGCCCUAGUUCGGGUGAUCAAGACCACAUCUGCUGUGAAGAACUUGCAGCAGCUAGCUCAGGAUGCGGACCUGGCCUUGCUGCAGGUUUUCCAGCUUGCAGCUCAUCUGGUGUACUGGGGCAAGGCCAUCAUCAUCUACCCGCUGUGUGAGAACAACGUCUACAUGCUGUCUCCCAAUGCCAGCGCAUGUCUGUACUCCCCGCUGGCCGAGCAGUUCUCCCAUCAGUUCCCAUCUCAUGACCUGCCAUCCGUCCUUGCCAAGUUCUCCUUGCCGGUCUCCUUAUCAGAAUUUAGGAAUCCCCUGGCCCCCGCUGUGCAGGAGGAAGAAGUUGGAGUGGGAAGGGGGACCAGCCUCACCUGCUGCCACCCGCAGACCCAGCUUAUCCAGAUGGUGGUGUGGAUGCUGCAGCGCCGGCUUCUCAUCCAGCUGCACACCUAUGUCUGCCUGAUGGCCUCACCCAGCGAGGAGGAGCCCCGCCCGCGAGAGGAUGAUGUCCCCUUCACUGCCCGGGUCGGCGGUCGCAGCCUCAGCACGCCCAACGCCCUCAGCUUUGGCUCCCCAACCAGCAGCGAUGACAUGACCCUCACCAGCCCCAGUAUGGACAACUCCAGCGCAGAGCUGCUUCCCAGCGGGGACUCACCACUGAACCAGAGGAUGACAGAAAACCUGCUGGCCAGCCUGUCAGAGAAUGAACGCGCAGCCAUCCUCAGUGUACCCGCAGCCCAGAACCCUGAGGACCUCCGCAUGUUUGCCAGGCUCCUUCACUACUUCCGAGGCCGCCACCACCUAGAGGAGAUUAUGUACAACGAGAACACUCGGCGCUCCCAGCUGCUCAUGCUGUUUGACAAGUUCCGCAGCGUGCUGGUGGUGACCACCCACGAGGACCCCGUGAUUGCCGUCUUCCAGGCUCUGCUUCCCUGAGCCCAGGCGGAGGGCGGAAGGCUGCUGGGGUGUGCAGGCCAGAGGUGUCAGCUGGAGAGCCGGACCACCUUCACAGCCCAGGAAGCCUUGUGGUGCCAGAGGCCAUGGCAGAGCCCAGAUCCUGGACCUACACUGAGCUGCAGGGGCCCUGGGAAGCCAGCACUGCACUGAGAGCCACUACAGUGGGAAGGGGCAGCCAAACACUGGCUACAGCCACAGUUCCCAAGUGUGGAAAAACUGCGGUGGAUUCCAGAUCUCAGGCAACUGAGAGGAGCUAUCCAGUGACCCGUGUGAGCAAAGCAGCUAAUUGCACGAGGACAAGGAGGACUAACUGAGGGCCAAGUCCAGCAGGCAGCGGACAGGGCUUCAGGGACAACUGCAGUGACAGGCAUUUUAGGAGAGACCAUGUUGCUAUGUUCACAUUACCUGUCC